rnacentral:rRNA from 1 species
UACGUAGGGUGCGAGCGUUACUCGGAAUUACUGGGCGUAAAGCGUGCGCAGGCGGUUCGUUGUGUCGGUGGUGAAAGCCCCGGGCUUAACCUGGGAAUGGCCAUGGAAACUGGCGAACUGGAGUGUGGCAGAGGGGGGUGGAAUUCCUGGUGUAGCGGUGAAAUGCGCAGAUAUCAGGAGGAACACCUACGGCGAAGGCAGCUCGCUGGGACGGUACUGACGCUGAGGCGCGAAA